rnacentral:rRNA from 1 species
GACGAACGCUGGCGGCGUGCUUAACACAUGCAAGUCGAACGGAAAGGCCCUGCUUUUGUGGGGUGCUCGAGUGGCGAACGGGUGAGUAACACGUGAGUAACCUGCCCUUGACUUUGGGAUAACUUCAGGAAACUGGGGCUAAUACCGGAUAGGAGCUCCUGCUGCAUGGUGGGGGUUGGAAAGUUUCGGCGGUUGGGGAUGGACUCGCGGCUUAUCAGCUUGUUGGUGGGGUAGUGGCUUACCAAGGCCUUGACGGGUAGCCGGCCUGAGAGGGUGGCCGGCCACAUUGGGACUGAGAUACGGCCCAGACUCCUACGGGAGGCAGCAGUGGGGAAUAUUGCACAAUGGGCGGAAGCCUGAUGCAGCAACGCCGCGUGCGGGAUGACGGCCUUCGGGUUGUAAACCGCUUUCGCCUGUGACGAAGCGUGAGUGACGGUAAUGGGUAAAGAAGCACCGGCUAACUACGUG